CUGAGCUGUCGACAUGAGCUGUUGCUGGUCCUCAAACCAGAGGGCAUGUGCACGCUCUGUUCACACAUCCACUCACACCUGUGCACCCUCUGUAGUUCUAUGGUCUGGAGGAUGCACCGUCUUCCUUCUGUGGUUCUACGUCUUUACACAUACACCGUAGUGAAGUUUUAUGGAAUGUGUGCCGCGUCUAACGCAAUACAAUA
rnacentral:misc_RNA from 1 species